AUGGAAGAAAAGGACUGCCCCGUCGAAUCAUUCAAACCCGAGGAUGACAAGAAAAGCACACCACCAGAAAUAGCAGUUGCUGAUGAACCGUUCCCAUUCUUCGGCCUGCUUUGCUACGCCGAUGCGCUAGAUUGGCUGCUCAUGGUAUCAGGGACAAUUGGGUCCUUCGUACACGGCAUGGCACCUGCAAUGUCAUAUUACAUACUUGGCAAAGCUGUUGAUAUGUUUGGGGACAACAUAGGCAAUCGGGAGGCAAUUGUCCAUCAACUUACUAAGUUACUUCCAUAUAUGUGGUCCUUGGCAAUUAUUACACUUCCUGCUGGAAUGAUUGAAAUUACAUGUUGGAUGUACACAAGUCAGAGACAAAUGACACGCAUGCAGAUGGCAUAUCUGGGAUCAGUACUCAGUCAAGAUGUCGGAGCUUUUGACACCGACUUAACCACCGCGAACAUCAUGGCCGGAACAACAAAUCACAUGAGCGUCAUAAAAGAUGCAAUUGGAGAGAAGAUGGGUCACUUUAUUUCUAAUUUCUCCACAUUCCUAGUCGCUGUCAUUGUUGCUUUUGUGUGCUGCUGGGAGGUGGGUAUGCUCUCUCUGUUAGUUGUUCCGAUGCUUCUUGUGGUUGGAGCAACAUAUGCUAAAACAAUGAUUGGCAUGUCGAUGACAAGGACAGCCUUCGUCUCUGAAACAACCACUGUUGUGGAACAGACUCUUUCACAUAUCAAGACUGUCUUCUCAUUUGUUGGAGAAAACUCGGCGAUGAAAUCCUUUGUGAAAUGCAUGGACAAGCAAUACAAGUUAAGCAAGAAAGAGGCAUUCAUAAAAGGACUAGGUUUGGGAAUGUUACAGAUUGUAACUUUCUGUUCGUACUCACUGACAAUCUAUGUUGGAGCAGUAGCAGUAACUAGAAGAUCCGCGAAAGCGGGUGAGACAAUUGCGGCUGUUAUUAACAUCCUCUCCGGUGCAAUAUAUCUCUCAAAUGCAGCUCCAGACCUUCAGAUCUUCAGUCAAGCAAAAGCUGCUGGUAAAGAAGUGUUUAAGGUUAUCAAAAGAAAUCCAGUGAUAAGUUCUGAAUCAAAUGGAAGAAUAUUGGAGAAGGUCAUCGGUGACAUUGAAAUACGAGAGGUGCAUUUCACAUAUCCAUCCCGUGAAGAUAAUCCAAUUCUCCAAGGUUUCUCGCUGACUGUACCGGCAGGCAAAAUUGUGGCUCUUGUCGGGAGUAGUGGAUGUGGGAAGAGCACUGUGAUUUCUUUGGUUCAGAGGUUCUACGAUGCUAUGUCAGGUGACAUAUUAAUUGAUGGUCAAAACAUUAAGGAACUUGAUCUGAAGUCCCUGAGGAGAAAUAUAGGUUCAGUGUCUCAAGAACCAUCACUCUUUUCUGGUACUAUUUCUGAUAAUUUGAGAAUCGGCAAAAUGGGUGCAACUGAUGAAGAGGUCACUGAAGCAGCAAAAACAGCUAAUGUGCACACUUUUAUUUCCAAGCUUCCAAACCAAUACUCAACUGAGGUAGGAGAAAGAGGUGUGCAACUAUCAGGAGGCCAGAAGCAGAGAAUAGCUAUUGCAAGGGCUAUUCUAAAAAAUCCUCCAAUUCUUCUGCUUGAUGAAGCCACAAGUGCACUUGAUUCAGAAUCCGAGAAGUUAGUUCAGGAUGCUCUUGACAGAGCUAUGCAAGGGAGGACUGUUAUCUUGAUUGCCCACAGAAUAUCAACAAUUAUAAACGCGGACAAGAUUGUUGUUGUGGAGAAUGGAAGAGUAGCUCAUUCAGGAACCCACAAAGAAUUGCUGGAGAAAAGUGCAUUCUACUCGAGUGUAUGCAACAUGCAGAAUCUAGAGAAGGAAUCUGACAAGAUUGGAGAAAGAAUCACAGAGCAAGACGAAGAAGAACAAGACAACAAGCCAUCUUUCGCUGCAGAUGAUGAAGAGAAGAGAAUAGAAUUGACCUCAAAGCAACCGAAGCAAGGGAUCAGAAAGAGAACAUCUGCUUUCUACAGAAUAUUUCUUGGAACUUUUAAACUUGUGCCCGGAAAAGUUCUGCUGGGUUCCACAGCAGCAGCAAUCUCUGGGAUCUCGAGGCCUAUAUUUGCUUUCUUCAUUAUAACGGUUGCCAUGGCAUACCUGGAGACAGAUGCAGAGAGAAUAGUUGGCAAAUACUCUGUAAUUUUGUUCCUAGUUGGGUUCUUAACAUUCUUCAGUAACAUCUUUCAGCACUAUGUCUAUGGCCUGGUUGGUGAAAGGGCGAUGAAUAACCUAAGGGAGGCCCUCUUUUCAGUCGUUCUUCGGAGCGAAGUAGGUUGGUUCGAAGAACCCGGGAACAGCGUUGGCUUCCUGACAUCGCGUGUUGUCAGCGACACCUCCAUGAUCAAAACGAUUAUAUCCGACCGAAUGUCCGUCAUCGUUCAGUGCAUCUCUUCGAUCCUGAUAGCAACCGUGUUAAGCACAGCAGUGAACUGGAGGAUGGCUCUAGCCGUAUAUGCUAUGAUGCCGUGCCACCUAAUCGCCGGCCUCGUACAAGUCAGGUCAGCGAAAGGCUUUGCCACUGACAUUUCCAGUUCUCACCAGAAGCUCAUCUCGCUCACCUCAGAGGCCGUCAGCAACAUCCGCACCGUGGCGUCUUUCGUCCAGGAAGAGGAGAUACUCAGGAAAGCGGACCUAGCGCUUCAAGAACCAAUGCGGACAAUCAGGAUGGAGAGCAUCAAGUAUGGAGCGUUGCAGGGGGUUGCCCUCUGCCUAUGGCACAUGACGCACGCCAUCCAGUUGAGCUGCACCAUCGCGCUGCUCGGCAAGGGACUGGCGACAUUUGAAAACUGUGUACGAUCAUAUCAGACGUUCGCGCUGACGGUGCCUUCCAUCACGGAGCUAUGGACCUUGAUCCCUAUGGUCAUGUCGGCGCUCGCGGUACUGGACCCUGCGCUCGACAUUCUUGACAGAGAAACAACGAUUGUGCCGGAUGUACCAAAAGCGUCUCAUGAUGAGGAAGACAGAAUUGUGGGCGGCAUCGCGUUUGAAGGCGUCAGCUUCAGCUAUCCCUCCAGAGCAAAGGUGACCAUUCUGGAUGGCUUCAGUCUCGCCAUUAAGCCAGGCCAGAGGGUCGCCUUGGUCGGCCCGAGCGGCGCCGGAAAGUCCACGGUGUUCGCGCUCCUGCUAAGGUUCUACGAGCCUAGCCAAGGAAGAGUGCUUGUAGACAGCAAGGACAUCAGGGACUACAACCUGAAGUGGCUGAGGAGGCAGAUAGGGCUGGUCCAGCAGGAGCCGAUCCUGUUCAACCUGUCCAUCAGGGAGAACAUCAGCUACGGCAACGAAGGCGCGUCGGAGGCGGAGAUAGUGCAGGCCGCAACGGAGGCCAACAUCCAUGAGUUCAUCAGCGGCUUGUCGGCGGGGUACGGCACCGUGGUCGGGGACAAAGGGAGCCAGCUUUCUGGGGGGCAGAAGCAGAGGAUCGCCAUCGCGAGAACCAUUCUGAAGAAGCCUGCCAUACUGCUGCUGGACGAGGCGACCAGCGCCCUGGACGGCGAGUCCGAGAGGGUGGUGAUGAGCUCCCUCGCCGCGAAGGGGUGGGGGAAGAGCGGUAUCGGCGAGGUGUCGUCGAGCACGACCACGAGCAUCACGAUCGCGCACCGGCUGUCCACGGUCGCGGGCGCGGAUGCGAUCGUCGUGAUGGAGAAAGGCGCGGUGGUUGAGAUGGGCAGCCAUGAGACGCUGGUCUCUGCGAGCAAUGGUGUAUACUCGCGGAUGUACCGUGUGCAGGUCAAAGGGGCGAAGGACUGA
rnacentral:rRNA from 1 species